UACGAAGGGGGCUAGCGUUGCUCGGAAUCACUGGGCGUAAAGCGCACGUAGGCGGAUUGCUAAGUCAGGGGUGAAAUCCUGGAGCUCAACUCCAGAACUGCCUUUGAUACUGGCGACCUUGAGUCCGGGAGAGGUGAGUGGAACUGCGAGUGUAGAGGUGAAAUUCGUAGAUAUUCGCAAGAACACCAGUGGCGAAGGCGGGUCUCUGGACAGUUCCUGACGCUGAAGCACGAAGGCCAGGGGAGCAAACGGG
rnacentral:rRNA from 1 species